UCAAUUUCUUUAUCCUUCUAGUUUAUUCACUGGGAAAAAGGGCGCGAUGUCUUCGAGAGACUGCUCAUAGAUUCUGAUUGGGCCAUAAAUAAUGGCAACUGGCUGUGGCUCUCUUGUUCAUCCUUUUUCUACCAGUAUAACCGUAUUUACUCUCCCAUAUCUUUUGGGAAGAAAUAUGAUCCUAAUGGAAACUUCAUUAGGCAUUUCCUCCCAGUUUUGAAAGAUAUGCCCAAGAAGUACAUAUAUGAACCUUGGACUGCUCCAUUGAGCAUCCAAAGCCAAGCCAAUUGUAUUAUUGGCAAAGAUUACCCAAAACCUGUGGUUUCUCAUGACAUUGCAAGCAAGGAAUGCAAGAGACAAAUUGGAGCAGCUUAUGCACUAAACCUUUCUGGUGAAAGUCCAGAUGCUGAGGAAAAACUGAUUCAUCUAAGAAGAAAGCUUGAAGAAGAUGAUCAUGGUGGUCUUCAUAAUAGGAAGCAGAAAAAAAGGAUAUCCAAAUAAUGUUGGCUUUUGAGAUGAAGUCUUACAUUGUUGUUUAUGCCUUACAUGCAUUUUUGUUUUGGUUUCAUUUGGUUUUGAUUUCUUC